UCUGACGGAGCACGCCGCGUGAGUGAUGAAGGCUUUCGGGUCGUAAAACUCUGUUGUUAGGGAAGAACAAGUACGAGAGUAACUGCUCGUACCUUGACGGUACCUAACCAGAAAGCCACGGCUAACUACGUGCCAGCAGCCGCGGUAAUACGUAGGUGGCAAGCGUUAUCCGGAAUUAUUGGGCGUAAAGCGCGCGCAGGCGGUUUCUUAAGUCUGAUGUGAAAGCCCACGGCUCAACCGUGGAGGGUCAUUGGAAACUGGGGAACUUGAGUGCAGAAGAGAAAAGCGGAAUUCCACGUGUAGCGGUGAAAUGCGUAGAGAUGUGGAGGAACACCAGUGGCGAAGGCGGCUUUUUGGUCUGUAACUGACGCUGAGGCGCGAAAGCGUGGGGAGCAAACAGGAUUAGAUACCCUGGUAGUCCACGCCGUAAACGAUGAGUGCUAAGUGUUAGAGGGUUUCCGCCCUUUAGUGCUGCAGCUAACGCAUUAAGCACUCCGCCUGGGGAGUACGGUCGCAAGACUGAAACUC
rnacentral:rRNA from 2 species